UCUUAUCUCAUCUCAAAUUCAGCUCAUGUAUUAUGUAUGAACGAACACAGUCGGCCAAUUUUUUCCUAUUUAACCCGGCAUGAGUCUGUCCAGUUCGAGGCGUCCUUUCAACUACAAGCUUCAAAUAGACACGAAACUUCAUUUCGGGCUUUGUGAUUACCUGAAUUACCUGCAUACCACGCGCCGACAAUGGAAGAUGUAAACUUCGUCUGGCUCUCCGUCUCCCGCCCUUCCCCCUCCCGUACUUCAGCUCAGCUAUUGCGUCGUAACACUCAUUCGGGAUGAUGAUAGUAUGUUAUUGUUUUGAUUACGCCGUGCAAGCCUUUAACUCGGAAUCGUGCAGUUCGUAGUUUAAAUAGUAUUUUUGCGGAAGAAUUUGCGCUACUAUGUGAUUUUCUAUUACAAACAAAGUGGAACUAAUUAGUGUUAUUCGUCAUAUGAAUGUGAAGUUCUCAACUGCUCAUCAGGAGUCGCGGGAUGAUGAUUGAAAAGUAGCGAUGGGAAGAUGCAGUCCAGCGGAGAUCCCUCGGGACGCGGACGUCGGCUGCGGGGCGGAGUGUGCGCGGGGGCAAGUGCGGGGGGGCCGCGGCCGGGGGGCCAGGGCCCAUGCGGGUGUAGCCGCUUGGCGGGGCCCCCGGAGCCGGAGGGCGAGAUGGGGGCGGGGGGUCGGCGCUCGAGCCACGGGCGCGGCAACUGUUACUGUGCCGGUGUCGUGGGUGACGAUGGAGUGGAGUGCGGCCGUGACGCCGGGAGUGGAAGUGGAAGUGGUGAAUGGAUAUUAAGGGAGGGCCGCGAGGGUGACGCGAGUGCAAGUGCAAGUGCAAGCGGGAGCGGGGCCCGGCUCCGGAGGGUCAAGGCCCACCGGGGCGGCAGCGGCGACGACGUGUCGUGGAGCGCCUGGACCCUCACCUGGCUUUGGAUCACCGUCAUCCUCCUCUCGACGCCGCUGGUAGCCGUCAACAUCAAAGGAGGUAAGGGAAAUCGAUCGAACUUUAACGUAUUUUUCUUCCUAGACGUCGCAUGUAAGUUAAACCAACCUCAAUUAAGGCAUCUUUCGUUUUACCAUCUUUUACGUUUUAGAAUUCAAUCUU
rnacentral:lncRNA from 1 species